rfam:Bacillus selenatarsenatis SF-1 DNA, contig: BSSF00044.
GACAAGCGCUGCCCGCCAAAAAACGCCACGUCCUGUGGCCGGCGGGUCUAGCACAUCGUGUGCU